UAGAAUGAAGCUUGGAGGUUAGAGCAUUUAGCUGUUAACUAAAGUUUUGUGGGAUCGAGGCCCACCAUUCUAG
rnacentral:tRNA from 1 species